GUGGACUUUUAAGGAAUAGCAGCUACUUUUACAGAAAUGCAAUUUAUGUCUCUCUGUAAUUCUCACAAUAGAAAAGUGUUAUUCUAACAACCGCCGCACUGGACCCACAGCGGGCCGAUCAAUACAUAUGCUUAAGUUUUAUCUCGACGGUGCCACAGGGGUUUGCUGAGGUGCGCUGAGAACCACAAGCGAUGAUGAAGUGAUGAAGCCUUUUGGAGCACAACUGACACCGACUGGGAAUCCCGAUCGGUGAAGCCGUUUGUUUAGUGGGAGCGGAGCGUUGUGUCGAGGUUAGUGGUUCAUACUGGUUGUUUACCCAGAUGGGGAAGUCGUGUCAGAUUUUCUUUGCCUUGAAGCUGCUUUCUUAUGUUUUAGUUGUUGGCUGGAGACUUGAUUUGCACUCAACAAACAUUUUUCGGCUGCUGAAAGCUCAGCAUAAAGUUACCAGAGCAGCAGAUGUAUCUUAAGCUUCAAUGUUUGCAUUGUUAGAAAUCAGGCUUUUGCAUUUUGUAGAAGUUUAGGCAGCUAAAUUCUAUAUACUCUCUCAUGCAUUGCUUUGUUCUUUAACAUGUGUUAUUCCUGUGAUACAACCAAGACAUUCACACUCCUCACUCGUCCAAACUUGGAGGCGCAGAUCGUUGCACUAAGUACACCCGCACCUUCAGAAUUAUUUUCCGACUUGUUGAGACGGUGAGUCAACACACUGUCAUUACAUGCAAAGUGUCCUUUUUAAAAAACCUCUCUCGGGAAGUACAAGUAGAUAUGCAGCAAGCAGCCGACAGCUCCGGUUUCCAGUAAUGUGUUGACGAACAUAACUAUGCCACAGCUACUCAACCUGUGUGUGUGUGUGUGUGUGUGUGUGUGUGUGUGUGUGUGUGUGUGUGUGUGUGGCUCUGAGGUGAGCUUUGUAGCCUUUCCACCAUGUGCUUCCUGUUUGUUGCACCUUCUUCGGUCCGACCAACCCCUGCUUGUCCCAGGCGCGUUUCUCAUUCACAGGCGCACGCACAAACAAGUCACACAAAAUAAAUGAUCCUUCACACAGAAAAACCACAGACGGCACAUUUUCCACUAGUUGAAGGAACUUUGUGAUGCUGUUUCCCAGAAGCUGCUUUUCCCUUCUGUCAUGCUGUGCAUGACGUCCUCUUGCGCGGUUUGGUGUGUUGUAAGCAUGUAUGUCUGCACGGCCCCAUGUGUGUUUUAUGUGUUUAUUUAUGCAGGUUUUGUUUGUUACAUGAGAUUGCGUGUGUGUGUCUUCGAGCUCUUCAAGCAUGUGCAACAAGUAAUUCAGGUGUUUGAAUAUCCU
ensembl:lncRNA